UAAGACGAACCGUGCGAACGUUAUUCGGAAUCACUGGGCUUAAAGCGCGUGUAGGCGGGCCGGCCCGUCCGCUGCUGAAAUCCCCCGGCUCAACCGGGGAACGGGCACGGAGACGACCGGCCUGGAGGGGAGUAGGGGGACCUGGAACUUCCGGUGGAGCGGUGAAAUGCGUUGAGAUCGGAAGGAACGCCCGUGGCGAAAGCGAGGUCCUGGGCUCCUGCUGACGCUGAGACGCGAAAGCCAGGGGAGCGAACGGGAUUAGAUACCCCGGUAGUCCUGGCCGUAAACGAUGGGCACUGGGUAGGGGGCUCGCCGAUGGGCUCCCUGCCGGAGCGAAAGCGGGAAGUGCCCCGCCUGGGGAGUAUGGUCGCAAGGCUG
rnacentral:rRNA from 1 species